rnacentral:lncRNA from 1 species
GAAAACCGCCUUCUGGAGUCUCAGGGAAACCCUGCAUCUUGGCAGUGACUACCGCCACCUGGUGGCAGUGUACCCACAGCAAAGGCCGAGCCCAGUGUCUUUGGGCGUCGAAUCUAUGAAACCCCGGGCCAGAGUGAUGAGGGCUUGCUAAGGUAGAAACGACUGUUGUGAAAGGAGGGCUGUCCGGGAGGUGCCAGCCCGGGAACGAGAGCCCGCACCGCAGCGCAGCCAUGCACCCCAGCCAGACCCAGGCCGGAAGGCGAAAGGGAAGUUUCUUCCAAGGCCCUGGACUCUCUGGAGUAAGAAAGACUCAUCUAUCA